ensembl:lncRNA
AGGUGUAGUAGACCUUACAGUGAAAUGCUGAAUACAACAGGUGUAGUAGACUUGAAUACAACAGGUGUAGUAGACCUUACAGUGAAAUGCUGAAUACAACAGGUGUAGUAGACCUUACAGUGAAAUGCUGAAUACAACAGGUGUAGUAGACUUGAAUACAACAGGUGUAGUAGACCUUACAGUGAAAUGCUGAAUACAACAGGUGUAGUAGACCUUACAGUGAAAUGCUGAAUACAACAGGUGUAGUAGACCUUACAGUGAAAUGCUGAAUACAACAGGUGUAGUAGACUUGAAUACAACAGGUGUAGGUAGACCUUACAGUGAAAUGCUGAAUACAACAGGUGUAGGUAGACCUUACAGUGAAAUGCUGAAUACAACAGGUGUAGGUAGACCUUACAGUGAAAUGCUGAAUACAACAGGUGUAGUAGACCUUACAGUGAAAUGCUGAAUACAACAGGUGUAGUAGACCUUACAGUGAAAUGCUGAAUACAACAGGUGUAGUAGACCUUUCCAGUGAAAUGCUGAAUACAACAGGCGUAGUAGACCUUACAGUGAAAUGCUGAAUACAACAGGUGUAGUAGACCUCACAGUGAAAUGCUGAAUACAACAGGUGUAGUAAAC